rnacentral:rRNA from 1 species
UGUGACCUCAAAUCAGGUAGGACUACCCGCUGAACUUAAGCAUAUCAAUAAGCGGAGGAAAAGAAACUAACAAGGAUUCCCCUAGUAACUGCGAGUGAAGCGGGAAAAGCUCAAAUUUAAAAUCUGGCAGUCUUUGGCUGUCCGAGUUGUAAUCUAGAGAAGUGCUAUCCGCGCUGGACCGUGUACAAGUCUCCUGGAAUGGAGCGUCAUAGAGGGUGAGAAUCCCGUCUUUGACACGGACUACCAGGGCUUUGUGAUGUGCUCUCAAAGAGUCGAGUUGUUUGGGAAUGCAGCUCAAAAUGGGUGGUAAAUUCCAUCUAAAGCUAAAUAUUGGCGAGAGACCGAUAGCGAACAAGUACCGUGAGGGAAAGAUGAAAAGAACUUUGGAAAGAGAGUUAAACAGUACGUGAAAUUGCUGAAAGGGAAACGCUUGAAGUCAGUCGCGUUGUCCAGGGAUCAACCUUGCUUUUGCUUGGUGCACUUUCUGGUUGACGGGUCAGCAUCAAUUUUGACUGUUGGAAAAAGAUCAAGGGAAUGUGGCAUCUCUGGAUGUGUUAUAGCCCUUGGUUGCAUACAAUGGUUGGGAUUGAGGAACUCAGCACGCCGCAAGGCCGGG